rnacentral:rRNA from 13 species
CGGCGACUUAUAGGUAGUGGCAGGUUAAGGCAGAGAAUGCCGGAGCCAUAGUGAAAGCGAGCCUGAAUAGGGCGUUUGUCAUUGGUUAUAGACCCGAACCCGGAUGAUCUAACCAUGGUCAGGUUGAAGCUUAGGUAAUACUAAGUGGAGGACCGAACCGACUGAUGUUGAAAAAUCAGCGGAUGAAUUGUGGUUAGGGGUGAAAUUCCAAUCGAAUUCGGAGCUAGCUGGUUCUCCCCGAAAUGCGUUUUGGCGCAGCGAUAAAUGUUAUAACUUAGGGGUAAAGCACUGUUACGUAUGCGGGCUGGUAAUUCGGUACCAAAUCGUUGCAAACUAAGAAUACUAAGUGGAAAAUUUAUCAGUGAGACUGUGGGGGAUAAGCUCCAUUGUCAAGAGGGAAACAGCCCAGAGCACCAGUUAAGGCCCCUAAAUAAUUGCUAAGUGAUAAAGGAGGUGGGAGUGCAUAAACAAUCAGGAGGUUUGCUUAGAAGCAGCAAUCCUUUAAAGAGUGCGUAAUAGCUCACUGAUCGAGUAAACCUGCGCCGAAAAUGUACGGGACUAAGUAAUUUGCCGAAACUGUGCGAUAUAUUUCGAAAAUAUAUCGGUAGGGGAGCGUUCUGUUGUAGAUUGAAGUAUUAGCGUAAGCGGAUAUGGACGAAGCAGAAGUGAGAAUGUCGGCUUGAGUAACGAAAAUAUAGGUGAGAAUCCUAUACCCCGAAAACCCAAGGUUUCCUCCGGAAGGCUCGUCCGCGGAGGGUAAGUCAGGACCUAAGGCGAGGCUGAAAAGCGUAGUCGAUGGACAACGGGUUAAUAUUCCCGUACCAUUAUUUGUUGAUAUCGAGGGACGGAGAAGGCUAAACUGGCCGGAUGUUGGUUACCGGUUUAAGCGCUCAAGGUGAUGAGAAACGGAGAAAACGUUUUGAGCUAAGGCGUGAAUACGAGAUGCUACGGCAUCGAAGCAGUCUAUGUCAUACUUCCAAGAAAAGCUCGCACUGUCAAAAACAAAAUAAUGCCUGUACCAUAACCGACACAGGUGGGUAGGUAGAGUAUACUAAGGGGCGCGAGAUAACUCUCUCUAAGGAACUCGGCAAAAUGACUCCGUAACUUCGGGAGAAGGAGUGCCUUAUUUUAAGGUUGCAAUAACCAGAUCCAAGCAACUGUUUAUCAAAAACACAGGUCUCCGCAAAGUCGUAAGACGAUGUAUGGGGGCUGACGCCUGCCCAGUGCCAGAAGGUUAAAGAAGUUGGUUAGUUUCGGCGAAGCUGAUAACUGAAGCCCUGGUGAACGGCGGCCGUAACUAUAACGGUCCUAAGGUAGCGAAAUUCCUUGUCGGGUAAGUUCCGACCCGCACGAAAGGCGUAAUGAUUUGGAUACUGUCUCAGAGAGGGGCUCGGUGAAAUAGACUUGUCUGUGAAGAUGCGGACUACCUGCACCUGGACAGAAAGACCCUAUGAAGCUUUACUGUAACUUGAAAUUGAAAUUGGACUUUAUUUGCGCAGCAUAGGUGGGAGGCGUUGAAGAUAUUCUUGCGGGAAAAUCAGAGCCAUCAGUGAGAUACCACUCUUGUAAUGUUAGAUUUCUAACUUUGUAUCAUUAUCUGGUCAAAGAACAGUUUCAGGCGGGCAGUUUGACUGGGGCGGUCGCCUCCCAAACGGUAACGGAGGCGCACAAAGGUUUCCUCUGAACGGGUAGAAAUCGUAUCUAGAGUGUAAAGGCAUAAGGAAGCUUGACUGUGAGACCUACAAGUCGAGCAGGGACGAAAGUCGGUCUUAGUGAUCUGACGGUGCUGAGUGGAAAGGCCGUCACUCAACGGAUAAAAGUUACUCUAGGGAUAACAGGCUGAUCUCCCCCAAGAGUUCACAUCGACGGGGAGGUUUGGCACCUCGAUGUCGGCUCAUCGCAUCCUGGGGCGGUAGUACGUCCCAAGGGUUGGGCUGUUCGCCCAUGAAAGCGGUACGCGAGCUGGGUUCAGAACGUCGUGAGACAGUUCGGUCCAUAUCCGGUGUAGGCGUUAGAAUAUUGAGAGGAGCCUUCUUUAGUACGAGAGGACCGAGAAGGACAUACCUAUGGUGUACCAGUUAUCGUGCCAACGGUAAACGCUGGGUAGCUAUGUAUGGAGUGGAUAACCGCUGAAAGCAUCUAAGUGGGAAGCCCACCUCAAGAUAAGUAUUCUCAUCACGUAAGUGAAUAAGGUCACGGUAAGACUAACCGUUUGAUAGGCAUUAAGUGUAAAUUUAGUAAUAAAUGAGCUGAGAUGUACUAACAGACCGAAGACUUGA